GUUCAAGUUGCCCCCUGGAUGUAGGAGUUGACCUGGCACUACGUUGACAUGUCGCACCCUGGAUGCAAACCUAGAUGCUAGGAGGAUCUUCAAGGAGUUUGUGGUGACAGAAUUGCCCAAAACAAAGAUUGUCAACCCUCCCCAUGUUGAACCCUGUGAGAUGGACAGUGAUUCUUAGUGCACAGAGGGAGCACUGAAGAGACUGCUGAGGGAAAAGGACCUGGGGAUUCUGGCUGUCCUGUACACUCUGCAGGCAGAACUUUGCAAGUGUUCCCAUCACCUACCCCUCCCAAAACCUCUGCUUUCAAUAAAGCUGUCCGAGGUCCC